rnacentral:lncRNA from 1 species
CUCUCUUCCCCUCUCAGAGCCUCUGGCCCCGCAGACCCCGGGGUGGGAGCUCGUGCCAGGAUCGCGGGGCGCGGGCACGGGCUCCUUGGGCGCCCCGAGGGGGCUGCUGGCCGGGGUAAGACCCGCGGUCUCUUCGGAGGACCGGGUCACGUUCCCGGGGAAGGAGGCGGCGGGCGUGCGGGGCCGGGGCAAGGGGGCCGGGCGGCGGGGACGGACCCCCGGGCCGCUCUGCUCAGGGCCCGAGGGAGCCGCGCGGGAGGCAGGUGCGGAGGUCACGGUCCCAGCGCCCGGAGGAGCCCUCGGGAGGGCGUCGCGGCCCCGCUGGUGGGCAGGAGCGAGCCGGGGCCGGCGCGGCUGCCGGGGGGCGGGGAGGAGGCGCGGGAGGCGGGGCGGAGGCGGCGGCGCCCCCGGGAUCCACUCGCCCAGCGCCGGCCCCUGCACUCCCAGCCGCGGCCGCCACCCGCCCCGCAGCCAACUUGGGCCGAAACUUCCCCGGGUCCCGCGCUCCGGAGCCGGGCGCGCAGCCCAGGGAGACCGACGGCGGCCCCCAGGGCCUCCCUCCGCCUCGGCCGCAGCCUCCGCAGCCCCGACCGUCCCCCCGGCCGAGUUCGGGGUCCCCGGCGCGGAGCAGGGAGCCCUCCCGGCGGCAGAAGGGCGCGCGGACUCCGAGCUCCGGGGCUGCCUGGCCGGGCUCCGCUGGCCCCCUCGGAGGCUGCCCCGGCAUCUGGGGGGCUCGAGACGCCGCGGCGGGACCCCGGGAGCCGAGCACGCCCGCCCGCGCCGCCAGCCCCCGCCCCGGCCGCGGAUGAGGAGUCGGAUGCGGCGGCCCGAGCGGCCCGAGCGCUGAGAGGAGCGGGCAGGGUCUGCCCCGGGCCCCGCCAGCCGCCCCCUGCGCCCCCCGGGCCCGCCGACCCCGCGCAGCCGAGCGCAGGAAGAGCCGGGCCGGGCCGAGCGGCGCCCGGAGCCCGCGGGCCUGACAAGCGGCGGGACAUGCAGGUAAGCGCCGGCCUCGCCCCCGGGACGGCCCCGCCGCGGAACCUCGCGCGGCUCCUCCGCCUUCCCGGCCCCGCUGGUCUCCGCCGGGCGGGUCUGCGCGCCGCGGGCGUCGGUCGGGGAGGGCCGGGGAGGGCCGGGGAGGGCCGCGGCGGCGACGGCGGGGUCAGGUGGGGGGAAGGGAGUCGCCCCGGGCGGGGGCGGCGAACAAAGCUGGGGACCGCCGGGCCCUCGGCGCGGGCAGGUGGGCUCCGGGGGCGGCAGCGCAGGCGGGGCGGGCACUGCGCGCGGCUGUCGGGGGGGUGGGGCGGGUGGGCCUCCGGGCUUCGCGCUCACUCUCCCGGGUUUGCUCGGGCCCAGCCUGGACCCGCCGCCGAGGUCUGCGCCGGCAUCGGGCAGCCCAGCUCGAGGACCACAUCUGGAUUACUUUACCCGCCAGAAGCGACUUGGUGCCUGCAUUUCUGCCUGGACCGGGCAGGUAGAGCCCGAGUGCCGCUCGGCUUUGUGUUUCUCCGGUGGCUCCAGCGCUCCACGUCCCCGCCGUGGGAGAGGCGGGACGUGACCUCCUCCUCCACCUUCCUGGAGCCUCGGUGGACAUGUGGCCAGCGCUCCGGUCAGAGCCAGACUCCGGGAGAUUUGCAUGCUGCAAAUCGUUGGGAGAGGCAAUUCGGUUUGCGGGGAGCCUGGCUGGCUCUGUUUUACAGGCAGGGAAACUGA